GUUUGAUCCUGGCUUAGGAUGAACGCUAGCUACAGGCUUAACACAUGCAAGUCGAGGGGCAGCAUUGGAGUAGCAAUACUUCAGAUGGCGACCGGCGCACGGGUGAGUAACACGUAUCCAACCUGCCGCUUACUCGGGGAUAGCCUUUCGAAAGAAAGAUUAAUACCCGAUGGUAUAAAGAGUUCGCAUGUUCUCUUUAUUAAAGAAUUUCGGUAAGCGAUGGGGAUGCGUUCCAUUAGAUAGUGGCGGGGUAACGGCCCACCAAGUCUACGAUGGAUAGGGGUUCUGAGAGGAAGGUCCCCCCACAUUGGAACUGAGACACGGUCCAAACUCCUACGGGAGGCAGCAGUGAGGAAUAUUGGUCAAUGGACGAGAGUCUGAACCAGCCAAGUAGCGUGAAGGAUGACUGCCCUAUGGGUUGUAAACUUCUUUUAUAAGGGAAUAAAGUGAGGGACGUGUCCCUUUUUGUAUGUACCUUAUGAAUAAGGAUCGGCUAACUCCGUGCCAGCAGCAGC
rnacentral:rRNA from 1 species